GGCUCUAAACUUCACACUGUAACCCCAGCUCUAGCCAAGGGCGUGGCUGACACUGGUCGGUCAGUAAAUGAUAUUGAGUUUAAUGAGACUGAAUAUAGACCCAGGUGUGAUUGCUCCGGUAGCUUUCCUUCCCCCCUUCCCUUUCACUUUGGCAGGAAGUCAUCUGCGAUCCCUCCGGGGGUGAGUAUUGUGUGUGCCCUGAGAUGGUCCCUGAGGGCGGCCAUAUGGACCCGCGUGCUGCCAGGCUGGCUGUGUGCCCCAGAUCCUGAGCUGUCGGUGGAGACAGGGGUCGAGCCCAGAGACCCCAGCCAGAAUUACUUUGGCACGUGUUUUCAUUUCUACCUGAACUUUGAGAAGCACGGACAUUCCCCCAAAUCCAUUUUCCUCGUUUGCUGGGGCAGACGCCGCUCGUUUAUGGCCCUGGGAAGGAAGACAUCACACCUCAAGUGGUACGUAGACUUUUACGACGAGGCCACCAAAAGCUUUGAGGCACCUUGUGUUUUCAUGGUUCUCACCUCUUGACCUAAACGGCCACGUUUAGCUCAACCUGUCCCAUCCUUGAAGCAAAGCCUCAUGUGUUCAGAGACAACUGAUUUGGAAUCAGGGACGGUUCAGGGCCAGAGCUGGCCACUCCACUCUGCUGGGGGACAGAGUUUGCUGAUGCGUUUGCAAAUGAGUAAUGAAAACAAGAUGGCCGGAGACAGUG
rnacentral:lncRNA from 1 species